UACGAAGGGGGCUAGCGUUGCUCGGAAUCACUGGGCGUAAAGGGUGCGUAGGCGGGUCUUUAAGUCAGGGGUGAAAUCCUGGAGCUCAACUCCAGAACUGCCUUUGAUACUGAAGAUCUUGAGUUCGGGAGAGGUGAGUGGAACUGCGAGUGUAGAGGUGAAAAUUCGUAGAUAUUCGCAAGAACACCAGUGGCGAAGGCGGCUCACUGGCCCGAUACUGACGCUGAGGCACGAAAGCGUGGGAGCAAACAGGGA
rnacentral:rRNA from 1 species